rnacentral:rRNA from 1 species
UACGUAGGGGGCAAGCGUUGUCCGGAAUCAUUGGGCGUAAAGCGCGUGUAGGCGGCCAGGUAGGUCCGCUGUGAAAACCCGAGGCUCAACCUCGGGACGUCGGCGGAAACCAUUUGGCUAGAGUCCGGAAGAGGAGAGUGGAAUUCCCGGUGUAGCGGUGAAAUGCGCAGAUAUCGGGAAGAACACCCGUGGCGAAGGCGGCUCUCUGGGACGGUACUGACGCUGAGACGCGAAAGCGUGGGGAGCGAACAGG